UGGGGAAUAUUGCACAAUGGGGGAAACCCUGAUGCAGCUACGCCGCGUGUGUGAUUGAAGGCCUUCGGGUUGUAAAGCACUGUUGUAGGGGAAGAAUUUUGACGGUACCCUAUGUAGAAAGCACCGGCUAACUCCGUGCCAGCAGCCGCGGUAAUACGGAGGGUGCAAGCGUUGCUCGGAAUUACUGGGCGUAAAGGGUGCGCAGGCGGUUUAUUUAGUCAGAUGUGAAAGCCCGGGGCUCAACCCCGGAACUGCAUCUGAAACUGGUAGACUUGAGGCAGAGAGAGGGAAGUGGAAUUCCUGGUGUAGAGGUGAAAUUCGUUGAUAUCAGGAGGAACACCAGCGGCGAAGGCGGCUUCCUGGCUCUGUUCUGACGCUGAGGCACGAAAGCGUGGGUAGCAAACAGG
rnacentral:rRNA from 1 species